rnacentral:rRNA from 2 species
CCUACGGGUGGCAGCAGUCGAGAAUCAUUCACAAUGGGGGAAACCCUGAUGGUGCGACGCCGCGUGGGGGAAUGAAGGUCUUCGGAUUGUAAACCCCUGUCAUGUGGGAGCAAAUUAAAAAGAUAGUACCACAAGAGGAAGAGACGGCUAACUCUGUGCCAGCAGCCGCGGUAAUACAGAGGUCUCAAGCGUUGUUCGGAAUCACUGGGCGUAAAGCGUGCGUAGGCUGUUUCGUAAGUCGUGUGUGAAAGGCGCGGGCUCAACCCGCGGACGGCACAUGAGACUACGAGACUAGAGUAAUGGAGUGGGAACCGGAAUUCUCGGUGUAGCAGUGAAAUGCGUAGAUAUCGAGAGGAACACUCGUGGCGAAGGCGGGUUCCUGGACAUUAACUGACGCUGAGGCACGAAGGCCAGGGGAGCGAAAGGGAUUAGAUACCCGGGUAGUC